rnacentral:misc_RNA from 1 species
AACGCACGAGACCUGCGGACCUGCGGAAGGAUCAUUACCGAGUUUACAACUCCCAAACCCAAUGUGAACGUUACCAAACUGUUGCCUCGGCGGGAUCUCUGCCCCGGGUGCGUCGCAGCCCCGGACCAAGGCGCCCGCCGGAGGACCAACCAAAAACUCUUUUGUAUACCCCCUCGCGGGUUUUUUAUAUCCGAGCCAUCUCGGCGCCUCUCGUAGGCGUUUCGAAAAUGAAUCAAAACU